GCGAGUGUAGUUCAGCGGUAGAACGUUUGCCUUCCAAGCAAAAUGUCAUGGGUUCGAUUCCCAUCACUCGCU
rnacentral:tRNA from 1 species